UAACCUAGCUAUACAGAAAGAAAAUACUGCACACCACAUGUGUAUUUUCAAGAGAACCCAAGUGAAACAUAUCUUUAACUCUUAGCUGGUUCCCCAAAAUGUCAUGACCCCUAUACUAACAUGCACAUGAAGGGAAAUACAGCAGAGGGAAGUUGGAGUGGAAAUAGACAGUGGUCCUAACACGUUGCAGGGACCACAUCUUUCCAUCCUGCCUAAUACGAGAGCUAGGCCCAGAGACGUGUACUUGCUAGACUCCCGUUAAGAACAGCAACUGCAGCUGUGAUUCAUACGG